UUUUUUUUUUUUGAAAGAAACAUAGAUCUCAUAAAUCAGACAGGCAUGGAAGCCAUAGCAUCGUACGGCGCUUUAUAUUAAAAACACUUUAAGUAAUAUUCUCUUAUUCUUUAAAGCGCUUGGAAUAUAAAACGCUUUAAGAAGUAGUUCAUUUUACAAUGGAGAUAUAUCCUUUACCUAUCUUUUAAAUCUAAAAUCCCACUUUCCAACUUUCCCAAAUACUGAAAGCAGUAAACUCUCAGUUUAAAUCACCCGCCACUCAAAAGUCUAAAAUCUAAAUCCUAAUAUUCUUUUACGGGCUAGCAGUUUCUGCAAGAAGGCGUGUUCAAGAGCUCUGAGAAAGACACAGCGACAAGGAUUCAGGUAGCUCUCUCAGAGAAGCUGAUCCUUCGCCGCCGAAGACUUCAACGUCAGCGCAUCAACCACUGUCGAGCCAAGCCUAAGUCUCUGCCUCUCGUGCACCCAGCACCAGGCUGAGAGAAGCUCUUUCUGCGACAAGCUUUAUCUCAUGCCGAGACUCAAGCAUCUUCUUCGACAUCAUCUCCAAUUUCCACUCUGUCUUUUUGAAGCAGAGACAAGCUAAAUGUAGCAGAGAUGAAAUUCCAAGAUAUUAUCAAUCCUCCCUCACUUGAUGCUUCCACGGGAAGAUUGACAACAUGGAUAAAAAAUGGAACUUGAUUCAACACUAGGAUUGAUGAUCCCCAAUGCUUGGUCAGCUGCUAAGGAGUUAAAAAUGAUGAAAGAUUAGGUACUAAUCGAAGGAAAUUGCAAGGAGCUGCUAUCUCUAUAGAACAAUCUCUGUUCGUCUCAAUGUUUGAUCCUUCCGAUUGAUCUUGGAAAUUUCUUACAUUGAUAUUUUCUUAUUACUGCUGGCUCUUAGCUUGUACUGAAGACCAGCUACAAUGAAGAAGGUUAUUGGUCAAAUUGUUAGGGACCUUAAGAGAGAAGUGAAUAAGAAAGUGCUGAAAGUCACUGGGAUUGAACAGAAGGGACAUUGGAAUUUACAGGUUAUCGUGAUGAUCUCGGGGGGUUGUAUUGAUCUGGAACUAGUCAAGUUCUAAAGUAGAAAGCACAGAACUGGUUUGCUUGGAUUGUUGUUAUUAUUUUGCCACCUAGCUCAAUGGUACGGGCAAGGAUCUGAUAAUAAAAGGAUGGACUUGUUUUUUUUCUCCUUAGUGGUUGAUCCAUUUUAGUGGGGGCUGAUGAUUGUAAUCUGGUUGGGACCUUUACUAAGUUUCUUUCUAUUUAGGUGCAACUUAGAUUAUGAUUCCCCUUAUCUUUUCUUUAUGUAAUCUCUUGUUCUUAUCUCUUACUACUCUCUCUUGUAUUAUGGUUUGGAGCACCCCAGCCCUUUUAAUACAAGUAUUCAGCUUAUUAAAAAAACUGUUUUUAAAA